rnacentral:rRNA from 1 species
AUUGAACGCUGGCGGCAUGCCUUACACAUGCAAGUCGAACGGCAGCACGGGAGCAAUCCUGGUGGCGAGUGGCGAACGGGUGAGUAAAGUAUCGGAACGUGCCCAGUCGUGGGGGAUAACGUAGCGAAAGUUACGCUAAUACCGCAUACGAUCUAUGGAUGAAAGCGGGGGAUCACAAGACCUCGCGCGAUUGGAGCGGCCGAUAUCAGAUUAGGUAGUUGGUGGGGUAAAGGCCCACCAAGCCGACGAUCUGUAGCUGGUCUGAGAGGACGACCAGCCACACUGGGACUGAGACACGGCCCAGACUCCUACGGGAGGCAGCAGUGGGGAAUUUUGGACAAUGGGCGAAAGCCUGAUCCAGCCAUGCCGCGUGCAGGAUGAAGGCCUUCGGGUUGUAAACUGCUUUUGUACGGAACGAAAAGGUUUGGGCUAAUAAGCUGAGCUCAUGACGGUACCAUAAGAAUAAGCACCGGCUAACUACGUGCCAGCCGCCGCCGUAA